rnacentral:rRNA from 1 species
GACGAACGCUGGCGGCGUGCUUAACACAUGUAAGUCGAACGGAAAGGCCCUGCUUUUGUGGGGUGCUCGAGUGGCGAACGGGUGAGUAACACGUGUGUAACCUGCCCUUGACUUUGGGAUAACUUCAGGAAACUGGGGCUAAUACCGGAUAGGAGCUCCUGCUGCAUGGUGGGGGUUGGAAAGUUUCGGCGGUUGGGGAUGGACUCGCGGCUUAUCAGCUUGUUGGUGGGGUAGUGGCUUACCAAGGCUUUGACGGGUAGCCGGCCUGAGAGGGUGGCCGGCCACAUUGGGACUGAGAUACGGCCCAGACUCCUACGGGAGGCAGCAGUGGGGAAUAUUGCACAAUGGGCGGAAGCCUGAUGCAGCAACGCCGCGUGCGGGAUGACGGCCUUCGGGUUGUAAACCGCUUUCGCCUGUGACGAAGCGUGAGUGACGGUAAUGGGUAAAGAAGCACCGGCUAACUACGUG